GCAAACUUGGUCAUUUAGAGGAAGUAAAAGUCGUAACAAGGUAUCCGUAGGUGAACCUGCGGAUGGAUCAUUCAAGAAUUUAUUUUUUGACUAUUUGGUCAAAAAUGCUUCUUGUGCAAUGUGUAUUUUUGGUGGUUCAUUGACAUUCCUGUGAAAAGAGUGUCGAUGGUCAUUUUUUUCUCUGAAUUUUUUUUCUUAUUACAUGCAAAAUUUUAUUGCAAAACUGCCAGCAAUGGAUCCCUCGGUUCUCGCAUCGAUGAAGAACGCAGC
rnacentral:misc_RNA from 1 species